GCCUUAUGCCUGAAAGGGCGACGGUGCUGAGCCGGAGCGAGAAGUCAGCAGAGGCUGUAGUACUUGGUGGUAGGGCCGUUGAGGCUGGAGACCGCCGGGGAAGGGC
rnacentral:ncRNA from 1 species